GGGGCAACAAACAACGGAUCAUCCACCGUCACGGGAUGCAGGAAAAGGAAGAGGAAGAGGAAGAGGGGCGCCCGUAUCGCAUAAACAAGUGAAAAAUAUCAUUCGUCGGGCGCUGCAAGUGGAGAGGAGGAAAAUGGGGUAUACACUACCCCCACCACCGCCGCCUCUCACACCGUAUUCACCGUACGCGCCGCCGCCGCCCACACCGUAUGCACCGUACGCACCGCCGCCGCCCACACCGUAUGCACCGUACCCAUAUCCAUACAGAUAUUAAAAAUUGUCUUUAAAAAUAUGCCUUCUCCAUUCCAUUCUAUAUAAUAAAUAUCAUA